rnacentral:rRNA from 1 species
UACGUAGGUGACAAGCGUUGUCCGGAUUUACUGGGCGUAAAGAGCGCGCAGGCGGUCGUUCAAGUCGAGUGUGAAAGCCCCCGGCUCAACUGGGGAGGGUCAUUCGAUACUGAUCGACUCGAAGGCAGGAGAGGGUAGUGGAAUUCCCGGUGUAGUGGUGAAAUGCGUAGAUAUCGGGAGGAACACCAGUGGCGAAGGCGACUACCUGGCCUGUUCUUGACGCUGAGGCGCGAAAGCUAGGGGAGCAACGGGGAUUAAGA